rnacentral:rRNA from 1 species
GUGCAGCAGUCGAGAAUCUUCCACAAUGGACGAAAGUCUGAUGGAGCGACGCCGCGUGAUUGAUGAAGUCCCUCUGGGACGUAAAGAUCUUUUAUGAGGGAAGAAGUUUAUUGACGGUACCUCAUGAAUAAGAGGCUCCUAAUCUCGUGCCGGCAGGAGCGGUAAUACGAGAGCCUCGAGCGUUAUCCGGAAUUAUUGGGCGUAAAGGGUGCGUAGGUUGUUCUGUUAGUCUUUUGUCAAAGCCCCGAGCUUAACUUGGGAUAUGCGGAAGAAACGGCAGAACUUGAAAGUGCGAGAGGCGUACGGAACUCAUGGUGUAGGGGUGAAAUCCGUUGAUAUCAUGGGGAACACCAAAUGCGAAGGCAGUACGCUGGCGCAUAUUUGACACUGAAGCACGAAAGCGUGGGUAGCGAAUGGGAUUAGAAACCCCUGUAGU